UCAUUCGCUCUCAACGAACGACUGCUGUAGCUGCCUUGGGUCGUGUCGGAUCCUCGCGGGUCCGACGCUCUCAUGUAGCGACGGUGUCAAUGAGGAAUGC
rnacentral:misc_RNA from 1 species